rnacentral:rRNA from 1 species
AAUCAACGCUGGCGGCGUGCCUCAGACAUGCAAGUCGAACGAGAAAGUUUCCUUCGGGAGACGAGUACAGUGGCGUCCGGGUGAGUAACACGUGGGUAAUUUACCUUUGGGUGGGGAAUAGCAGCCGGAAACGGCUAUUAAUACCGCAUAAUGCAGCGGCUCGACAUCGAGACAGUUGUUAAAGCGGGGAUCUGACAAGGACCUCGCGCCUAAAGGGAAGCCUGCGUCAGAUUAGCUAGUUGGUAGGGUAAUGGCCUACCAAGGCUGUGAUCUGUAGCCGGCCUGAGAGGGCGGUCGGCCACACUGACACUGACACACGGGUCAGACUCCUACGGGAGGCAGCAGUCGGAAUUUUGGGCAAUGGGCGCAAGCCUGACCCAGCAACGCCGCGUGAAGGAUGAAAUCCCUC